rnacentral:rRNA from 1 species
GCAAGUUGAACGCUCUCUUCGGAGAGAGUGGCGAAAGGGUGAGUAACGCGUGAGUGAUCUGCCCCCAAGUUUGGGAUAACUGCUGGAAACGGCAGCUAAUACCGAAUGUGAUUACAUAACUGCAUGGUUUUGUAAUUAAAGAUUUAUUGCUUGGGGAUGAGCUCGCGUCCCAUUACGCUUGUUGGUAAGGUAACGGCUUACCAAGGCUGUGACGGGUAGGUGGUCUGAGAGGAUGGUC